rnacentral:rRNA from 1 species
AUUGAACGCUGGCGGCAGGCCUAACACAUGCGAGUCGAGCGGAUGAAGGGAGCUUGCUCCUGGAUUCAGCGGCGGACGGGUGAGUAAUGCCUAGGAAUCUGCCUGGUAGUGGGGGAUAACGUCCGGAAACGGGCGCUAAUACCGCAUACGUCCUGAGGGAGAAAGUGGGGGAUCUUCGGACCUCACGCUAUCAGAUGAGCCUAGGUCGGAUUAGCUAGUUGGUGGGGUAAAGGCCUACCAAGGCGACGAUCCGUAACUGGUCUGAGAGGAUGAUCAGUCACACUGGAACUGAGACACGGUCCAGACUCCUACGUGAGGCAGCAGUGGGGAAUAUUGGACAAUGGGCGAAAGCCUGAUCCAGCCAUGCCGCGUGUGUGAAGAAGGUCUUCGGAUUGUAAAGCACUUUAAGUUGGGAGGAAGGGCAGUAAGUUAAUACCUUGCUGUUUUGACGUUACCAACAGAAUAAGCACCGGCUAACUUCGUG